rnacentral:rRNA from 1 species
GACGAACGCUGGCGGCGUGCUUAACACAUGCAAGUCGAACGGAAAGGCCCUGCUUUUGUGGGGUGCUCGAGUGGCGAACGGGUGAGUAACACGUGAGUAACCUGCCCUUGACUUUGGGAUAACUUCAGGACACUGGGGCUAAUACCGGAUAGGAGCUCCUGCUGCAUGGUGGGGGUUGGAAAGUUUCGGCGGUUGGGGAUGGACUCGCGGCUUAUCAGCUUGUUGGUGGGGUAGUGGCUUACCAAGGCUUUGACGGGUAGCCGGCCUGAGAGGUGGACCGGCCACAUGGGGACUGAGAUACGGACCAGACUCCUACGGGAGGCAGCAGGGGGGAAUAUGGCACAAUGGGCCGAAGCCUGAUGCAGCAACGCCGCGUGCGGGAUGACGGCCUUCGGGUUGUAAACCGCUUUCGCCUGUGACGAAGCGUGAGUGACGGUAAUGGGUAAAGAAGCACCGGCUAACUACGUG